rnacentral:lncRNA from 1 species
UCCACGACACGGCCCGUCUCCAGUUCCACCCAGAUUUGUACCACAUAAUCCCCCACAUCCACCUAAACCUUAACCCAUUCUAAUUUCCCCAAAAUCCCCAACCAAACUCGGCAAAAUUCAAAUCUAAGAAGGUCAAAAAAACCUAAAUCCGGCCCUUAUGAAAUUUCGGGUUCGUUAUGGCUUAAACUUAAGUGAAUAGAUUGCUCUUGACAUAAGCAAUCGAUUCAUGUUAGUUUUGGUUCAUUCCGAAGUCAUCGGAUUCCGGCCAACUCACCACUGACCGGUCAAGCUUCGUCGGAAAUGGUUUUAAUGGCUUCGACUUUCUUUCAAUAGGUAUAUUCUCGCCCCAGUCUUUCUUUCAAUAGGUAUAUUCUCGCCCUAGUUUAAAUGGAGUUCGAAUUGUUCAGGCUAUAUUUGUGGUUAAUCUCAUGAAUUCAAAUAUGCUUAAUGGUUAAACUUGCUCCUACUUGUAUUGUUUGCCGAUAAUUGGUUUCGUUGUUUUUUUUGAGCUGAACUUUGAACUGAUUUCGCUUAUUACUAAUGAUUCUGGUGAAGUCUAUAAUGAGCCUUGUUGUACAAAUUGAGUCUACUAUUGUGACAUACUUGUAUUUGAAUUCAGAAGUAGAAGCUUAUCUAAUUGUGACUAAUUGAUAUGUUAGUGUGAAAUGCUCUAGCAAUGCGAACAACAAUGUUCAAACAAUUUCGAGGAUUUGGCUCAAUACCUGCUUACUACUGAAAUGUGUGUUUAAUGUUUGAAGUCAAGGCCCGCAUGAGAAUCAUGAACAUGUAAAUCAGAAGCAAGAGUAAUAGUUUAACCAUUUGAAUGUCAAGUUGUAUAACAGUUCAUUUGAAAUCAAGCUUGUAAUAAUGUUUGUUUUCCAGUAUUGGUUAAAUUCGAAAUUCAUUCUGUUGUUUGAAGUUUGUAUGUAUGUUAUUUUGGUUCUGGGCCUGGUAAUGAAAUGGCCCAGUUUGGGAAAGUCGUUAUCAACUAAGGGCUUCAGGCCUAUUUAAUGGGGCCAGGAAAAGAUGUCUAUCAGACUGC